AUGGACCUCGUGGGCAGGAACGUGCAUCAGCGCUGGUUCCUCCUCUUUCUGGUGGCAGCUCCUGGAUGUGUUCUGUCCCAGGUGCAGCUGCAGGAGUCGGGACCAAGCCUGGUGACGCCCUCACAGACACUGUCCUUCACCUGCUCAGUCUCUGGAUUCUCAUUAUACGGCAAUGGUGUGCACUGGGUCCGCCAGGCCCCUGGAAAGGGGCUGGAUUGGAUUGGUGCUAUAGAUACUGGUGGGGGCACAACCUAUAACCCAAGUCUUCAGUCCCGAGUCAGAAUCUCCAGGGACACCCUCAAGAACCAAGUUUACCUAAAACUGAGCAACUCAGUGCCUGAGGACACAGCCGUG